CACGUAGGCGGGCUGUUAAGUCGGACGUGAAAUCCCUCGGCUUAACCGAGGAAGUGCAUUCGAAACUAGCAGUCUUGAGUACGGGAGAGGGUCGCGGAAUUCCCGGUGUAGAGGUGAAAUUCGUAGAUAUCGGGAGGAACACCAGUGGCGAAGGCGGCGGCCUGGACCGAUACUGACGCUGAGGUGCGAAAGCGUGGGGAGCAAACA
rnacentral:rRNA from 1 species